rnacentral:lncRNA from 8 species
UAUGAAUGUAUUAUUCUGGAACCAACUGGUUGAUUGGUUCAGUUCUCCUCCUGUCUGAUCUGCAGGCUAUGGAACUGCCAUCAGGGGUCUACAAAGCCACUGAGGACAGAGAGACCACCUUGAACACAAAGUUACUACUGGUGAGAGUCACUUUUGAAGGAGUGGACCACACUAUCAGCCGAGAGAAGAAGCAGGGAACACGAGACCAGAACCAUUUGAUGGAAGAAAAGAAAAAGAGAAGGCAAGAAGAAAAGAAAAAGAAGGAAGCUGCUCAGAAAAAGGUGUGAUGUCAUAUGUUUCUUGUUGUUUGGACACACUUCUAUCAUACUACCUCAUACAAGCACCAACUAGAGGUCGACCGAUUAAUCGGAAU